UUUUAAAAUUUUUUUUUUUACAAUUAAGUUGCACAAAAUAUAAUACGAUUUAAUUAGUUUUCUUCUCUAUUUAGGAACCAGUCAAACAAUCUGUAAUAAAAUCUUUAUUUUCAAUAUAAACACCUUACAUAAUUAUCCAGAUGAUAGCUGACUUCUAAGUCAAAGUCUUCUUCCAAUAAUAGAAGCUUGUCUUUUUUCUGCAGUGGCACGUACGCAAGCGCAACUACACGAAGCAAUAAACCAGUUGAUUCUUGAUUAAUAGGAGUGCGCUAUUAAAGAUCUUGAUUCUUGAACCCAUUCUAUGAAAAGCCUAAUAGAACCCGUUGGUAUUGGCUUGCUUCAUUCAAGAAGUAUGGGUCUAAACCAGUUGUGGAUGUUUGUGGUGAUGCUUUUAUUGUUACAAGGGGUACGGUGGUUUCAUGGUUGUUGGGAGGACAAGAGAAUUGCUCUACACAAGCUCAAAGCUUCAAUUAUCCGAAUGAAAGUAAGGAUGACAUCGGAUAGAAUACCCAUGAAUUUGAAAGUAUUUGAAGCUGAACUCAUGUAAUAUAUAAGAUACACAAAUUCGCCCUAAACCUGAAUAAAAAU
rnacentral:misc_RNA from 1 species